rnacentral:lncRNA from 1 species
UAAAACAAACCAUCUUUUGAAAACAAAGUUUCUUUUCCCUUUUCUUUUUUUUUAUUUUUCUAACAAAUUCGAAAGAGUUUCGAUACUAUUUUGAUAUUGGUUGCUUUUUCUAAAACAAAUAAUUAACUAUCUACACUGCUAUUUCUUUUUUUCAAUCUUUUUCCAAAUACUAUAAAGCCGGUCAGCAUGCAAGUCCUAGACAAAUGAAAGCACACACAACACGUAAGAUGCAUCAAGGUGGUCUUUUUAUUUCAGGUUACCUGUCCCAGAUGGACCCAGCCCUUGUGUUGAGCCCCCUAAGGCAAAUGAAUGUUAUGCAAAUAAGCAUUCCUAAUAGGGAUCCGGCAUGGAAUCAAGUUAUUGUAGGUUCAAAACCUGGGUAUGUGUUUUAAACUGUGUACCUGAGCGGACAACUCGAGUCGAGGAGGGGGCUACGUACCGGGAACCAAAAGGCCAUUCGGCUUAGUAACUUGUCUGAGCCUCUUUCUUAUUUCAAGGUAUGACACUAAUAGAUAAGGGAAUCUCAACCAGUGAGCACAUCCUCGAAGGUGAGAAGAGAAGGGUUUCAACACAGUUUAUAUACAGUUCAGAUAAUAUCAAAGCGGUAAAACAUUUAGCACAUUUAGCAUGAACAUGUAGGGAAAUCAGAUAAAGCCAAACAUAACAAUUAUUCAAGCUCAAAUUCUUAAACUCUGAACUGAAUUUCUGGGUUUAUGUCCCCAGUAGGGUCGCCAGAGCUGUCACACCUCCUUUUUCACUAUACCGGCAAGGGCAUAAAGCAGUUUUUCUUAAAGAACAAUCGGAAUGGGAUUUAUUAUUAAUAUUCAAAGUCGCCACUUGGUAGAAUAAUGGUGCACCAAUACACUUGGUGAAUCCCGAACCGAGGAAAAAUAUGACUCUCUUAACAGUUCGCGAACUAAUAAUCUGGGUAAGGAAUUCUGUUAACUCGGGAGAAGGUGUUAGGCGUUCCUGGGUUCUGUCGUUCUAUUACGGUCACUCAACUAUCAUAUUUAACUUGUUUAUCUUAUUUUAAUACAUGUUUUAUCUUAUGUGCUUUUUAAACGUAUACAACUUUUAUUAUUAUUUUAACGAGAAUUAUAACUUCGUAAAAACGCAUCUCGAACCACGUCACAUAAAUGCACCCGUGGUUGUUGACACAUUUUGACUUCGUUGAGAUUUGGAUUCUGGUCACA